rnacentral:rRNA from 1 species
CCUACGGGGGGCUGCAGUGGGGAAUAUUGCACAAUGGGGGAAACCCUGAUGCAGCAACGCCGCGUGAGCGAUGAAGGCCUUCGGGUCGUAAAGCUCUGUCCUAAGGGAAGAAUACUGACGGUACCUUAGGAGGAAGCCCCGGCUAACUACGUGCCAGCAGCCGCGGUAAUACGUAGGGGGCUAGCGUUAUCCGGAAUUACUGGGCGUAAAGGGUGCGUAGGCGGCCCUUCAAGUCAGAGGUGAAAGGCUACUGCUCAAGCGUAGUAAGCGUUUGAAACUGUAGGGGUUGGGUGCAGGAGAGGGAAGUGGAAGUCCCAGUGUAGCGGUGAAAUGCGUAGAUAUUGGGGGGAACACCAGUUGAGAGGGCGGCGCUGUGGACUGUAACUGUCGCUGAGGUACGAAAGCGUGGGGAGCGAGCAGGAUUAGAAACCCGUGUAGUC